rnacentral:rRNA from 1 species
GUUGCAGGGUAUAGACCCGAAACCCGGUGAUCUAGCCAUGGGCAGGUUGAAGGUUGGGUAACACUAACUGGAGGACCGAACCGACUAAUGUUGAAAAAUUAGCGGAUGACCUGUGGCUGGGGGUGAAAGGCCAAUCAAACCGGGAGAUAGCUGGUUCUCCCCGAAAGCUAUUUAGGUAGCGCCUCGUGAAUUCAUCUCCGGGGGUAGAGCACUGUUUCGGCUAGGGGGCCAUCCCGGCUUACCAACCCGAUGCAAACUGCGAAUACCGGAGAAUGUUAUCACGGGAGACACACGGCGGGUGCUAACGUCCGUCGUGAAGAGGGAAACAACCCAGACCGCCAGCUAAGGUCCCAAAGUCAUGGUUAAGUGGGAAACGAUGUGGGAAGGCCCAGACAGCCAGGAUGUUGGCUUAGAAGCAGCCAUCAUUUAAAGAAAGCGUAAUAGCUCACUGGUCGAGUCGGCCUGCGCGGAAGAUGUAACGGGGCUAAACCAUGCACCGAAGCUGCGGCAGCGACACUCAGGUGUUGUUGGGUAGGGGAGCGUUCUGUAAGCCUGUGAAGGUGGCCUGUGAGGGUUGCUGGAGGUAUCAGAAGUGCGAAUGCUGACAUAAGUAACGAUAAAGCGGGUGAAAAGCCCGCUCGCCGGAAGACCAAGGGUUCCUGUCCAACGUUAAUCGGGGCAGGGUGAGUCGACCCCUAAGGCGAGGCCGAAAGGCGUAGUCGAUGGGAAACGGGUUAAUAUUCCCGUACUUGGUGUUACUGCGAAGGGGGGACGGAGAAGGCUAUGUUGGCCGGGCGACGGUUGUCCCGGUUUAAGCGUGUAGGCGGGUGUUCCAGGUAAAUCCGGAACGCUGUUAACGCUGAGGCGUGAUGACGAGGCACUACGGUGCUGAAGCAACAAAUGCCCUGCUUCCAGGAAAAGCCUCUAAGCAUCAGGUAACACGAAAUCGUACCCCAAACCGACACAGGUGGUCAGGUAGAGAAUACCAAGGCGCUUGAGAGAACUCGGGUGAAGGAACUAGGCAAAAUGGUGCCGUAACUUCGGGAGAAGGCACGCUGACACGUAGGUGAAGUGAUUUACUCAUGGAGCUGAAGUCAGUCGAAGAUACCAGCUGGCUGCAACUGUUUAUUAAAAACACAGCACUGUGCAAACACGAAAGUGGACGUAUACGGUGUGACGCCUGCCCGGUGCCGGAAGGUUAAUUGAUGGGGUCAGCGCAAGCGAAGCUCCUGAUCGAAGCCCCGGUAAACGGCGGCCGUAACUAUAACGGUCCUAAGGUAGCGAAAUUCCUUGUCGGGUAAGUUCCGACCUGCACGAAUGGCGUAAUGAUGGCCAGGCUGUCUCCACCCGAGACUCAGUGAAAUUGAACUCGCUGUGAAGAUGCAGUGUACCCGCGGCAAGACGGAAAGACCCCGUGAACCUUUACUAUAGCUUGACACUGAACAUUGAGCCUUGAUGUGUAGGAUAGGUGGGAGGCUUUGAAGUGUGGACGCCAGUCUGCAUGGAGCCGACCUUGAAAUACCACCCUUUAAUGUUUGAUGUUCUAACGUGGACCCGUGAUCCGGGUUGCGGACAGUGUCUGGUGGGUAGUUUGACUGGGGCGGUCUCCUCCUAAAGAGUAACGGAGGAGCACGAAGGUUGGCUAAUCCUGGUCGGACAUCAGGAGGUUAGUGCAAUGGCAUAAGCCAGCUUGACUGCGAGCGUGACGGCGCGAGCAGGUGCGAAAGCAGGUCAUAGUGAUCCGGUGGUUCUGAAUGGAAGGGCCAUCGCUCAACGGAUAAAAGGUACUCCGGGGAUAACAGGCUGAUACCGCCCAAGAGUUCAUAUCGACGGCGGUGUUUGGCACCUCGAUGUCGGCUCAUCACAUCCUGGGGCUGAAGUAGGUCCCAAGGGUAUGGCUGUUCGCCAUUUAAAGUGGUACGCGAGCUGGGUUUAGAACGUCGUGAGACAGUUCGGUCCCUAUCUGCCGUGGGCGCUGGAGAACUGAGGGGGGCUGCUCCUAGUACGAGAGGACCGGAGUGGACGCAUCACUGGUGUUCGGGUUGUCAUGCCAAUGGCACUGCCCGGUAGCUAAAUGCGGAAGAGAUAAGUGCUGAAAGCAUCUAAGCACGAAACUUGCCCCGAGAUGAGUUCUCCCUGAGACUUUAGGUCUCCUGAAGGAACGUUGAAGACGACGACGUUGAUAGGCCGGGUGUGUAAGCGCAGCGAUGCGUUGAGCUAACCGGUACUAAUGAACCGUGAGGCUUAACCUUA